AGGACCUGUGUGAGAGUUUACACCUUCACAACUACCCGCAGCUGAUGCAAAACUGUGUCAGGAUAUCAGAGGAAUGGCGCAAGCAAAUAAAUUUCCAGAUGCUGUCGCCUUUCACCUGCCCACACCUGCCCUUGCCUGCCAUGCCUGCCACGCCUGCCCUGCACCAUGUCCCCUUUCCAAGCCUCGCGGGGAGACUGAGAAGUCAUGCUCGAGAAGAUUGUGUUGGAGGCAUGAGAAGAACACGUGGGGUUAAUGAAUGACAAGGAGGUGCAGGAAGACAAGGAAAAGAAGGUUAGUUAAGUAAUGUAUCGUAAUUCUUUUGUUGAGCA